GACGAACGCUGGCGGCGUGCUUAACACAUGCAAGUCGAACGGGCCUUGUCCCCUUUUUUUUUGGGGGUGGGGUUAGUGGCGAACGGGUGAGUAACACGUGAGUAACCUGCCCCUCACUUCUGGAUAACCGCUUGAAAGGGUGGCUAAUACGGGGUGUUCUGGCCUGCUCGCAUGGGUGGGUUUGGAAAGAUUCGACCGGUUUUGGUUGUUUUGGUGGGGGAUGGGCUCGCGGCCUAUCAGCUUGUUGGUGGGGUGAUGGCCUGCCAAGGCUUUGACGGGUAGCCGGCCUGAGAGGGUGGGCGGUCACACUGGGACUGAGACACGGCCCAGACUGCUACGGGAGGCAGCAGUGGGGAAUAUUGCACAAUGGGCGCAAGCCUGAUGCAGCGACGCCGCGUGAGGGAUGGAGGCCUUCGGGUUGUGAACCUCUUUCGCCAGUGAAGAAGGUCCUGCUCUUUGUGGUGGGGUUGACGGUAGCUGGGUUAAUGAAGCGCCGGCUAACUACGUG
rnacentral:rRNA from 1 species